UUUUGACCUCGGAUCAGGUAGGGAUACC
rnacentral:rRNA from 3 species